GAACCACAUAUGCAGAAAUAAAAACACACUAACAGGAGCAAUAACAAGAGCAGCCAUGAAAAACAAGAUGAUCACUGUCUUCUGUAUAAUCUUAAAUAUCAUGCUCAUCUCAGGUUCCUCUCUCAGUGACAAAGUGAAGCAGACUCCAGCUCACGUGUUCAAGAAACCAACAGAAACAGCUAACAUCAGCUGUUCACAUAGUAUUGAUAGCUAUAAUCAAAUCCUCUGGUACAAGCAGUUAAACAACAGACAGCUGCAGUUCCUGGGAUAUAUGUUCAUGGACUCAGAAAACCCAGAACCUGGAGUCACAGUGAAGAUGGAAGGGAAUGCAAAUAAAGACCAGACCUGCACUUUAAUCAUUAAAACAUUGGACCUGAACAGCAGUGCAGUUUACUUCUGUGCUGCUAGUUUACACAGUGCCACACAUCACUGCUCCUCAGUACAAAAACCUCACCAUCACUAUGUUUUCAUCAGCUCACUGACAGCUGCUUACACCUGGAGUUAGUGAACCAAUGCUUGUCUUUAAUCUCAAUCAUGGGAGGUUAUUUCUGUGGAGUGACAUUGAUAAUGUCACACCUCCCAGAAAUAAAGAGCUGCCUCAGCCACUCAGUAUAUGUGAUGUGUCUCCUUGUAUCAGAAUCAUUACAAUGGCUCAUAAUCUCGUCAGAUUUACCAUCUCAACUCUGUCGCUACAAGGUACAAGAACUAAAAUGCAUUUAUCUGCAGUUUGUCUGUUUGUCUGUCUUUGAGCAGCAUUAUUUAACGAGUAAAGGGCAGGUUUAGACUCAAUUUUCUGGAGAUUCAAUUUGGAGUCUUUGAUAAAGAUUUUUUAAAAUCAGCCAUUAACCUUGAAAAGCAGGGGAUUAUAUUAACACUGCAGAAAAUUUAGCAGCCCUGGUGGAGGAUUGCACUCUCAGAGUGCUUUUUACAAUUGAUGAUUCAUGUUGUUGUCGUUGCCUUUAUUUGGUCUUGUGUAACAUUCUCUGCAUGCUGCAUACUUCAUCUGAAACGGGCUCCGUUCAGACAAAACUAUCAGACCUGACUAAGGGAGCUUUUGUGUGAAUCCACACAUAAAUCAAAAUCUAAAUAUCCCUAACCUGAGAAAUACACAGUAUGUUUACAUGUUACUGAGGGAAAAACUAAUUACCGGGUUAAUCUGCACUUUUAAAACACAUGUAAACAAGUUAGCCUGUGCGAAACUGUACUGUAGUAAUACUAAGGCGGACUUGCACAACAAGAUAACGUGACUGGACAUU